AGCGAACGCUGGCGGCGUGGAUAAGACAUGCGAGUCGAACGGGAUAAUCUUGUAGCAAUACCGGAUUGUUCAGUGGCGAACGGGUGCGUAACACGUGGAUUACAUACCGGAAAGCGAGGAAUAGCCCAGGGAAACUUGGAUUAAUACCUCAUGUGGUCGCAAGACUAAAGGCGGGGCAACCUGCCACUUUCCGAUUGGUCCGCGGCCUAUCAGCUAGUUGGCGGGGUAAAGGCCCACCAAGGCUACGACGGGUAGCUGGUCUUAGAGGACGACCAGCCACACUGGAACUGAGACACGGUCCAGACACCUACGGGUGGCAGCAGUCGAGAAUCUUUCACAAUGGGGGCAACCCUGAUGGAGCGACGCCGCGUGGAGGAUAAGGUCUUCGGAUUGUAAACUCCUGUCAUGCGCGAACAAGGUUGCUGGGUUAAUAACCCGGCAAAUUGAUGGUACCGCAAGAGGAAGAGACGGCUAACUCUGUGCCAGCAGCCGCCGUAAAAC
rnacentral:rRNA from 1 species